ACAGGCCUUUCUCAAAUUAUAUGCAUACUUUACAUUCCAUCACCAGAGAGAGGCUAACAGGGCAUGAAUGUAAACAAAUAAUGUCUGACCUGAUAAGCCCUAGUGUGUUUAACUUGCUGGGGAAAUCUCAUUUUUAUUCCACUCUGUUAUUCCAAUUCUAGAUAUGAUUAUACCGUUAAUUUUCAUAAAAUACCUAAGGAUGUGAGUUUAAUAAAGGAAAGGAUUGUGAAAAUAAGAUGGAUGAAAGAACAUUUCAAGAUCAAUAUUUUGCAAUAGUUGCUCGUUUUGAAGCAUUUCACACAAUAAGAUUAACAAUCAUGGACAUAAAUUCAUAUACAUGUAUGUCUGAAGACAAUAGAUGUACUCUGUAGAUGGUUCGACUGGAGUAAUAAUCAACAGACCAGUAAGAUGAACACUAAAGAAGAAGAUUUCAUUACCAGAUGAAAGGAAAUCCAUUGGUAACAGUCAUGAACACAAAUUGACAACUGGUAUUUGAAUCGCCUUUAAUUGUAAUAUCUCUUCACGGCAGUGGCAUAACAGAUGAAAACAGUUCAAAGAAGAAUUACAGAAAAAUUAG